AAUGAACGCUGGCGGCGUGCCUAACACAUGCAAGUCGAGCGAGAAAGUCCCCUUCGGGGGGCGAGUAAAGCGGCGCACGGGUGAGUAACGCGUGGGUAACCUGCCCUUGAGUGGGGGAUAACCAGCCGAAAGGCUGACUAAUCCCGCAUACGACCGGCAGACACAAGUCUGUCGGGGAAAGAUGGCCUCUGCUUGCAAGCUAUCGCUCUUGGAUGGGCCCGCGUUGGAUUAGCUAGUUGGUGGGGUAACGGCCUACCAAGGCUGCGAUCCAUAGCUGGUUUGAGAGGACGACCAGCCACACUGGAACUGAGACACGGUCCAGACUCCUACGGGAGGCAGCAGUGAGGAAUAUUGCGCAAUGGGGGAAACCCUGACGCAGCGACGCCGUGUGAGCGAUGAAGGCCUUCGGGUCGUAAGCUCUGUCAGAGGGAAGAAAGGGUCGGCGGAAUAAUACCCGCCGACAUUGACGGUACCCUCGGACGGAAGGCACCGGCUAACCUCCGUGCC
rnacentral:rRNA from 1 species